AUUGAACGCUGGCGGCAUGCCUUACACAUGCAAGUCGAACGGUAACAGGCCGCAAGGUGCUGACGAGUGGCGAACGGGUGAGUAAUGCAUCGGAACGUGCCCAGUCGUGGGGGAUAACUGCUCGAAAGAGCAGCUAAUACCGCAUACGACCUGAGGGUGAAAGCGGGGGACCGUAAGGCCUCGCGCGAUUGGAGCGGCCGAUGUCAGAUUAGCUAGUUGGUGGGGUAAAGGCCUACCAAGGCAACGAUCUGUAGUUGGUCUGAGAGGACGACCAGCCACACUGGGACUGAGGCACGGCGCCGACUCCUACGGGAGGCAGAAGUGGGGAAUUUUGGACAAUGGGCGCAGGCCUGAUCCAGCAAUGCCGCGUGCAGGAAGAAGGCCUUCGGGUUGUAAACUGCUUUUGUCAGGGAAGAAAUCUUCUGGGCUAAUACCCCGGGAGGAUGACGGUACCUGAAGAAUAAGCACCGGCUAACUACGUGCCAGCAGCCGCCGCCGUAA
rnacentral:rRNA from 1 species